rnacentral:lncRNA from 1 species
AAUACUCCAGGCCCGCAUUAAUCUCUAAGCCCGCUGAAAAACACUGUUCCUCUUAGAAACCACAUCCGGCCCUCACCCCCUGAUCAGUAAUAUUGCAUGAACAGUGUUUGAGAUUACAAAUUAUGUUUACAAUUUUAUCCCUCAAUUUACUUCAAAAUAUGAAUUCUUCAGUCCUUUGAUGAGAUUUUCGUCAAAUCCCCUUGAAGGUAAGAUCUGCGAAAUUCUGUUUUUGAGCAUGUAAAGAUUUGGUUCUCGAUGCUUUUCUCUUUCGCCAAAUUUAUUUGCUUUCAAUACAAAUCUGAAAGGGGCCGGUGCAAGCUUACCGACAGGAGAGGUAAGGGUGGGUGGUUCGGCCGCAAUUUUUGGGAGGAGGGGCCGAUGCAAGCUUACAGGAGGAGAUGC